CGGCAACAGCUCAAAUUUGAAAUCUGGCCUCUCGGGGUCCGAGUUGUAAUUUGUAGAGGAUGUUUUGGGUACCGCCCCGGUCUAAAUUUCUUGGAACAGAAUGUCAGAGAGGGCGAGAAUCCCGU
rnacentral:rRNA from 1 species